rnacentral:rRNA from 1 species
GACGAACGCGGGGGGCGUGCUUAACACUUGCAAGUCGAACGGCCCUCCUGCCUUGGUUGGGGUGGUUGAGUGCCGAACGGUUGAGUAACACGUGAGUAACCUGCCCUCUUUCUGGGAUAACUGCUUGAAAGGGCGGCUAAUACGGGAUGUUCUGGCUGCCUCGCAUGGGGUGGUUUGGAAAGAUUCGGCCUGGUUUUGGUUGUUUUGGUGGGGGAUGGGCUCGCGGCUUAUCAGCUUGUUGGUGGGGUGAUGGCCUACCAAGGCGGUGACGGGUAGCCGGCCUGAGAGGGUGGACGGUCACACUGGGACUGAGACACGGCCCAGACUCCUGCGGGAGGCAGCAGUGGGGGAUUUUGCACAAUGGGCGCAAGCCUGAUGCAGCGACGCCGCGUGAGGGAUGGAGGCCUUCGGGUUGUGAACCUCUGUCGCCGGUGAUGUAGGCUCUGCUUUGUGGGUGGGGUUGACG